AACGAACGCUGGCGGCAUGCCUAACACAUGCAAGUCGAACGAGACCUUCGGGUCUAGUGGCGCACGGGUGCGUAACGCGUGGGAACCUGCCCUUAGGUUCGGAAUAACUCCCCGAAAGGGGUGCUAAUACCGGAUAAUGUCUUCGGACCAAAGAUUUAUCGCCUUUGGAUGGGCCCGCGUUGGAUUAGCUAGUUGGUAGGGUAAAAGCCUACCAAGGCGACGAUCCAUAGCUGGUCUGAGAGGAUGAUCAGCCACACUGGGACUGAGACACGGCCCAGACUCCUACGGGAAGCAGCAGUGGGGAAUAUUGGACAAUGGGCGAAAGCCUGAUCCAGCAAUGCCGCGUGAGUGAUGAAGGCCUUAGGGUUGUAAAGCUCUUUUAACCGGGAUGAUAAUGACAGUACCGGGAGAAUAAGCUACGGCUAACUCCGUG
rnacentral:rRNA from 1 species